CGUGUGGUUCUAUUUUGUUGGUUUCUAGGACCGCCGUAAUGAUUAAUAGGGACAGUCGGGGGCGUCAGUAUUCAAUUGUCAGAGGUGAAAUUCUUGGAUUUAUUGAAGACUAACUACUGCGAAAGCAUUCGUCAAGGAUGUUUUCAUUAAUCAGGAACGAAAGUUAGGGGAUCGAAAACGAUCAGAUACCGUUGUAGUCUUAACCAUAAACUAUGCCGACUAGGGAUCGGGCGGUGUUAUUUUUUGACCCGCUCGGCACCUUACACGAAAGUACAAGUUUCUGGGUUCUGGGGGGAGUAUGGUCGCAAGGCUGAAACUUAAAGAAAUUGACGGAAGGGCACCACCAGGGGUGGAGCCUGCGGCUUAAUUUGACUCAACACGGGGAAACUC
rnacentral:rRNA from 1 species